CAUGUGAAGCUCCAGGCUAAGAACUGGGAGUAUAAGGAUGAACAGAGUAAAGUCCCUGUAAGGUCCCUGAAUGCCAUGGGAGUUCCCAGAUGUGGAGGUUAAAAAUUAUGAUGGAAAAUUAUAGCUAACAUUUAUUGACACUAUUUGCCAUUCUAAGCAUAUUACAUAUCAUUAUGCGCUUAAUAUUCAGUUAGCUGGUAUCAUGCCCAUUUUACAGAUGGGAAAGUCAAGGCACAGAAAGGUUAAAUGAUUGCCUACAAACCCACGGCUAUCAAGGGGACAGCUAGGCUUGCAAACUCAGGAGUGUUGCUCUUGGGCCUGGACUCAUACCCUCUCUGCUUCACAGCUCAAUUAUACAGUUAUGCAUAAGGAAGAGAACAAUGGACUCAGCUUUCAUUGUUUAGGCACAGACUGGGCUGAUAUUCAAACUUGAGGGCUAAGUAGAAGUUAACCAAGCAGAGAAAGUCGCAUAUGCCAGGCAGAGAAAAUAGUCCAUGCAAGGGCACUGGGUCUGAGAAAACAAUACAGGCAAAUAAUUUACAGAGGUUGAAUAAUAGGAGGGUGUGGAGGGACAAGACUGCAAGAGAUAAAGACUGAUAAAGUAUACUGUCUUUUUGCAGAAAAGUGCCUGGGCUAACUAUUUUUCAGAGAACAGCCAAAGGAAAAAUAAACCUGCUUAAUUGAAGGAGCUGAUCAGUUAGGAUGUGGCUAAUUGAGGCCACCUAGAUAAAGUGGUAAGUAAUAGAGUCCUUGAUUUGAUCUCUAGGUGGAUCUGUUAGUUUCAGCUAACAGAAUUCAUCUGUUGAGCCUAUUCAGAUUGAUUUGUAGUUUGUGUGUGGAGAAGCCUUCUGAGGCUGUCCCUGGGUCAGUGAGAACCACUGUUGGUAAGCCACUAGCAAUGUCUGCCAGGCUAACAGACAGCACGGUGGUAGUGUAUUUGCUAAGUAAUGUCUAAGUUCCUGAUCAAAACGAACUCUGACACAAGGCAACAGAUAUUUGGUAUCCUGCUUUAACAAAUCUGGAGCUAGUGGAGAGGGAAAAUGGUUUGACGUGGCCUAGAUGGUUCUCUAACCCAGUUCUCCUGGAGCGAACCGAACCAAAGUCCAUGUUCAACCUAUAAAAGCACAAUGUGGCCAAACUCAGCUAAUCCCACAACUGACACUGGUGUUGUGAGUUAAAAGAUACAAAUGACACAAUUCCUGUGUAUAAAUCCAGAGGGACAUGGUUAAAACAAUUUUGUCCAGUAAAGUGAGGUUUGCUGAACUAGCUUUUUUUUUUGAAAUCUAAUUUUAAACAGACCUGUGAUAUAUUCUAUUUGUUCCACAUAGCUUAACAGUCUUAAAAUUUUUUUUUUGCAUCUGAAACUGGCGAAAUUGCUACAGAUGAAACUGAAAUUUCCUUAUGGCUGUUGUAUAUCCAGCAUCCUACUAUAAAAGGGCACAGGGAUGGCCUCUGCAUAGUUUGCUAGGGCAGGCCACAGCCUCCAGUGUGGCCCUGAGCCCGAAAAAGGACAGGGCGGAGCACCACCUCUGACAGAUCACCCACCUUCUGCCUUGUGAUCUGCCCUGGGAGCUCCCUCCACUGUGAUCCUGCGGUAAUGCCGCCGUUGCCCUGUAGGGGGCAGAUGGGAGGCACCCAUCGCUGCAACCAUUCCGAAGUGGUGGCAUCCUCCUGGCUUUUGCUCAACUCCAGAGACUCCAAAGCAGCUUUCUCUGCCCUUAUAUGAAGACUCAUCCUGAAGGUUUUGCAGGCCUCUGAACCUGGCUUUCCGUGGACUUGUUCUUUGCAAAGGAGUGAUCCCAAAGGCCAGUGGUGGGGGAGGGCAUUUUACCUCCAGGAUCAAAUACCCAUGCAAGGGAGGGGUCAGUCCUGGGGUAAGAUAGGGGCGCUCAGCUCAAAAAGGCAGUGCCCGUGUCCGUGUGCUCCUGCAGCCCGGUGCCACCGUCUGUUGUCCCAGAUGCUGGGAUUCCUUCCCGAUGCCAUUCCGGGAAGGGCGCCGGCUCCUUUUCCUUAGCUUGGCUCCCUUUUUCAGUCUGGAAUAGGAACUUCUAAAACCCCAUUAACUAGUAAUCACUCAGGGCCAGUGAGGGCGCCUCAACCACCCCAGGAAUAUCCAAUUAGCAAAUCAUGAUCCAGCCCUCCAGUGAAAGGAGUCAGACCCAUUAUCUGUGAUGUCCCCAAUUAGAGUGUUUAUUCAUGAAAGACUGCAUGGAGCUGGCAGGCCGGCUCCUUCCUUCCCAAACCCGGCCAGAUUCCGCAUCUCUUCCCACCCCCACGCCGGCCGGCCGGCCCCGAGGCCUCGCCACAGUCUGCAGGAAUCACGAGGAGUCCUGGUAGCAGCAGGACGGAGGAGUCAGAUUCUUCAGGGUUGGUCAUGCCUGACUGGAGUUCCUGGUUUUCUUUCCUUUUGUGAGGGGGUGAGGCGGGGGCCGGAAUAAAUUAGGCCGGAGCGCGGCUGUGAUUUCGUUAGUAUUUAUCCAUUUCACUUUAGCAGUGAGUCAGGCAUUUAUCAGACCCUGCGAACACCCCAGGUGCUGGGGUCUCACUCCUGCCCCUUCUUGCUUUCUCUCCUCACUUGCAAUUGGCUGUUUUAACUGCAUAAAACCACGGAACAAAAAUCCAUCUGCUUUUAGAGCUAAAAGGGUCCUUAGCGACUCAGUGGUUCAGCACCCCUUCCUUUCCAUUUUAACAAACAAGGAAAUAUAAUAUUAUUAGGUUUGGUUGUUUUAUAAACCUCUCCAUUUUUAUGUAGCCAAGAAUAUAACCCCACUUUAAAAUAGCCCAAAUAAAUAUAGUGAUCAUGAAGUUAAAAACACCACCACCCAAACAGCAUUUGUCAGGAAGAUGAUCUUAUCACACGGAAACAACCAGAUAAAGGAGAAUAUAGUCGGAUACCAGCCCAAGACCAGCCAUUACAUUCUGCCUGCUGGUUAGAUAAUAUCCCAGCUCCAAAAGCAUCUUGAGACUGGCCCCUUUCAGCAUUUGACAUAGUAUAAAUUUCCUUACAAUAUCAGGUCCCAGAAGCAAAUCUUUUGCCCACAAGGAGGGAAAUGAGAUUCCUUACUAGCUUUCCUGCCCAGACAACUUGCUUGGAGAAAUGAGGAAGCCUUGCUCCCAACCAAAACUUGUGUCAGGCUGCUGUGAAAACACAAUCUGUCUGUUUAUAUUUCUAGAGCCAAACACGGUGUUUUCUAUAAUUCUGAUUAGCAUCUACUUGGCCCUUUCCUUGAAGUAUCCUCUGUGGAAAUGUUCCAGAUAGAAAUCUGUGAGCUCCUACAGUCAGUGGUGAGCCUGAGCAGGCCCCAUCAGUUCAAGAGCUGAUUGUCAAAAUGGUAGGGAUUUUGCAAACUGCUUUUAAAACAACCGUUUCUAAAAUUUGAACUAUAUAAUCUUACCAUUAAAUGAAUUAUGUUAAAAACAAAGAUAAUAGUACUUAAAAUGUACCACUUCUUAAUCACCGUACUGCUUUCUGCUGGUUAUGUACAAAGCUAUAUCUUGAAGUUAUUUAUGUUCUUGUAUAUAAAUUGUAUCUGUAUGGAGGGAUACUAUAGAAGGUUGUGCUACUGAGCAUUUCUUCCCAACUCCUCGGUUUGAAAUCAGCCAUUGGGAGGAAUAUUGUCACUGUGGAAAUCAGAAACUCUGCUAAGUCAGCCCCUCUCACCCAAUGCUACUCCCAGAGCCAGCUGUUAAACAUUUACCAGCAGAUCACUGGACACAAUAUUGUCUGUUUAGUUGAGUCUGCAACCUUCGGGAAAGCCCUACGUGUGAAGUUCACAUAGUAACCCCUCACUUUCAUGAACUUGGGGGCAAAUAUCUGGCCUAUAUAGUGAAUUUUAUAUGCAACUGAAAGUAACUCAUUCACGAUCCGGUCUUUAUUAUUGCACUUCUGCCUGGUUUUCAUGGACUUACUCUAAAUGGACAUCACAUAGUCUGCUGUCUUUCAAGCAGAGAUUCUGACAAUAUUUUCAUAUUCCCUUGAGAUAAGAGUAUGAGUACAACCAUCACUUCAUACUCUACUGUAAUGAUAUCCUCAGGGAACAGAAAGGUAUAUAUUCAUUUCCGUUAUACUAAAUGACCUACACUGCUGUGAGAUUUUAGGUGUUCUUUCUGCUUUGGUUGCUUUUUUAAAGUCUUCUGGAUUAGUGAAAAGAUGUCAACUGUCAGCCAUGUUUUUAAUUACACAAAUAGGACAUGAAUACAUGUUCACAGUAAAUGAUUCAAACAAUACGUUAAUUAAAAAGAAAAAGUUCCCCUCAAACCAUUUUCUGUUCCUGGUCCAGAAAUAGGCCCUAUUCUAUUUUGAUGUGUUUUCUCCAUGAUCUUUGAGCAUGUGUCUACACAUAUAUUCAUGUUAUUUUAUAUAAUAAUUAAUUAAUAUAUGUGCAUGACUUCUACAUAAAUGGGAAACAUGAUCACAUAUUCUGCAGCAAGAUUUUUUCACUUACAGUUUAAUUUUCUUUCAUGUUAGUAUAGAUAAAUCUUUAUUCUUUGAUAUCUGCAGGAUCUCAUAGGCUUUCCCUUUUGAUGGACAGUUAGGCUAUUUUCAUUUUUUGUUUGUUGUAAAUGAAGCAACAUUUAAUACUUUUGUUCAUUUAUCUGUGUACAUAUGCAUAUUUAUUUAUGAAGGAUAACUUUUAAGAAGUAGAAUUUCUAAGUUUGGGAUAGUUAUCAUCCCUUGCUCCUUUCAUUUCUUCUCAUAAUCUCCUAUAUCAGUGAAGUUUAUUAAUACUGUGCCUAUGAGUAAAUAUUCUGGGUAAAGCUCUGAUA